UACCAAGUAGAUGGUGCAAAGAUUGAUAUC
rnacentral:piRNA from 1 species